rnacentral:rRNA from 1 species
UACGAAGGGGGCUAGCGUUGCUCGGAAUUACUGGGCGUAAAGGGCACGUAGGCGGACAUUUAAGUCAGGGGUGAAAUCCCAGAGCUCAACUCUGGAACUGCCUUUGAUACUGGGUGUCUUGAGUAUGGAAGAGGUGAGUGGAAUUCCGAGUGUAGAGGUGAAAUUCGUAGAUAUUCGGAGGAACACCAGUGGCGAAGGCGGCUCACUGGUCCAGUACUGACGCUGAGGUGCGAAAGCGUGGGGAGCAAACAGG